rnacentral:tRNA from 1 species
CGGGACUAGCAUUAGCCUUUUAAGCUAAAAACUGGUGACUCCCAACCACCCUUAAUGA